rnacentral:lncRNA from 10 species
GAUUUGGCCCCGACUGCGAGCCGGACGGGAUGGUGGAGGGGCGGAGGGCGCUGCUGGGGGCCUGGGAGGCUGGAUUUAGGGCUGCCUGGGCGGUACCGCCCGAGGGGCAAGACCCGACAGCGGGGCGCGCGCCGCAACUCCACAGACAAACGAAUUUAAAGGAGCAACCGAGGAGGCACCUGCGAAAGAAAGCCCACACACAGGUGAAUUUAAAGGAGCAGCCCUGGUGUCACCUAUCAGUAAAAGAAUGUUAGAACGACUUUCCAAGUUUGAAGUUGGAGAUGCUGAAAAUGUUGCUUCAUAUGAACUAUUUGGAGUUUUCCUCGUCUUACUGGAUGUCACUCUCGUCCUUGCCGACCUAAUUUUCACUGACAGCAAACUUUAUAUUCCUUUGGAGUAUCGUUCUAUUUCUCUAGCUAUUGCCUUAUUUUUUCUCAUGGAUGUUCUUCUUCGAGUAUUUGUAGAAGGUUUUUGAUCUAGGCCCUGAUUCCCAGACAGCACCUUUGGAUCCACCUGGAGGCUAGGAGAACUUGCCAUCCUGAAGGGAAGGACACAGGCCUGGCUGUUUUUACCAUGUGAUGACUGUAGAGCCCCAGGGCCUUCAGCAAACUCAUGCAAUAGCUAAGGAGUGGUUACAGCAGGUCUUGGGCAAGACCCCGUGCUGUGCUGGCCUCAGGUCUGACCCAAUGCAGUCACAGUAGUGGUGGCCACAGAGGUGCUUAUGUCACUCAACCCCAAGCUUUAGGUGCCUCAGAACAGAGAGAGAGACUCUGUUUGUUUGGGAGAAAGUAAGGGAAGAAAACAAGAGUCUCUUUUUGGUAAUGCAGAGAAUUAUCCUGGAUCUUGUCCAAGACCAUUAAGGCAGUACCGCUAUGAGUCUGCAAGAACCAGAGUUUAGGAGGCUUGGGGUGCCCCCUAAAGCAGAUAGAGAUUAGAUC